AUGCCAGCAAAUUUGGAAACUCAGCAGUGGCCACAGGACUGGAAAAGGCCACUUUUCAUUCCAAUCCCUGAGAAAGGCAAUGCCAAAGAAUGCUCAAACUACCGCACAGUUGCACUCAUCUCACAUGCUAGUAAAGUAAUGCUCAAAAUUCUCCAAGCCAGGCUUCAGCAAUACGUGAACCAUGAACUUCCAGAUGUUCAAGCUGGUUUUAGAAAAGGCAGAGGAACCAGAGAUCAAAUUGCCAACAUCCGCUGGAUCAUGGAGAAAGCAAGAGAGUUCCAGAAAAAUAUCUAUUUCUGCUUUAUUGACUAUGCCAAAGCCUUUGACUGUGUGGAUCACAAUAAACUGUGGAAAAUUCUGAAAGAGAUGGGAAUCCCAGAUCACCUGACCUGCCUCUUGAGAAACCUAUAUGCAGCUCAGGAAGCAACAGUUAGAACUGGACAUGGAACAACAGACUGGUUCCAAAUAGGAAAAGGAGUACGUCAAGGCUGUAUAUUGUCACCCUGCUUAUUUAACUUCUAUGCAGAGUACAUCAUGAGAAACGCUGGGCUGGAAGAAGCACAAGCUGGAAUCAAGGUUUCUGGGAGAAAUAUCAAUAACUUCAGAUAUGCAGAUGACACUACCCUUAUGGCAGAAAGUGAAGAGGAACUAAAAAGCCUCUUGAUGAAAGUGAAAGAGGAGAGUGAAAAAGUUGGCUUAAAGCUCAAUAUUCAGAAAACUAAGAUCGUAGCAUCCGGUCCCAUCACUUCAUGGGAAAUAGAUGGGGAAACAGUGGAAACAGUGUCAGACUUGAUUUUUGGGGGCUCCAAAAUCACUGGGGAUGGUGACUGCAGCCAUGAAAUUAAAAGAUGCUUACUCCUUGGAAGAAAAGUUAUGACCAAUCUAGAUAGCUUAUUCAAAAGCAGAGACAUUACUUUGCGAACAAAGGUUUGUCUAGUCAAGGCUAUGCUUUUUCCAGUGGUCAUGUAUGGAUGUGAGAGUUGGACUGUGAAGAAAGCUGAGUGGCGAAGAAUUGAUGCUUUUGAACUGUGGUGUUGGGGAAGACUCUUGAGAGUCCCUUGGACUGCAAGGAGAUCCAACCAGUCCAUCCUAAAGGAGAUCAGUCCUGGGUGUUCAUUGGAAGGAAUGAUGCUAAAGCUGAAACUCCAAUACUUUGGCCACCUCAUGCGAAGAGUUGACUCAUUGGAAAAGACUCUGAUGCUGGGAAGGAUUGAGGGCAGGAGGAGAAGGGGACGACAGAGGAUGAGAUGGCUGGAUGGCAUCACUGACUCAAUGGAUGUGAGUUUGAGUGAACUCUAG
rnacentral:lncRNA from 1 species